UGGGGAGCAGCUGGGCCAUGAACUACAAGUAGCUGGGGGCUGCAGGCUAGGCUAAGCCAGGUUUGGGCAGCAUCAGGUGGCAGCAGUCCUAGUCACACAGCAGCUCAGUGUGUGCAGAGCUCCUCCAGGGGCAGAUGGCUGUCCGCAACAAAUCCCUACUCCCUGCCUAGCAGGAUCCUGUGCCAGGUAUUUCAGCUAGGCUUUGUCAGGAACCUGCUGAAGAUCCUUCAGAAAGUAUCAGCCUGGGUUGGGCUUGUGGUCCCUGUAGAGACAAUUAUCAGCAAAGUCUGCCCCACACAGUCUCCCACCAGACCUGGACGACUCGCCAAGAAGCGCUACGGGAGGCUGACGCGUCUCCUUCUCUCCAUCGUCCCCACCAGGAUCCGGAACAGUCCUGGGCCAACUGCCAGUGGACUGGGGCCAAAGCAACAUGCCCAAGGAGAUCCGAGAAGCUCUGAUCAACCCUUCUAGUAAAGCAAACAAGAGGAAACGGGACUGAUGUUGCUCUGGAGGAGCAGGUGUCCUGGGUGGAGGUGCUGGAGGGGGACCUGCUGGAGGAUGACCCUGAAGAUGUCACAUACGAGCCCUCGGAUUUGGAAACAGACAGCGAGGAGUACAAGUCCCAGAAUGACACUGAAGCAGACCUGGAGUUUGAAGAGCAGGAUGGGGUUGUUCUGUUGAAGGAGUCAUCAGCUCUCCAGGUGGAAGAUGCCCAGCCCACUGGGGGAAAUCCCAGAGCUGCUGGCUGCGAGCAUGGAGCAGGGACUGAGGGACUCGUCUGUGUCCAGCAGUGGGGAAGAUGCUUCUGACACUGACAGUGGUGAUGGUGAUGCCCAGAAGCCACCAGCUUGUGAGAGCAGUGGGGAUGGUAGUGGCCAGGAGCAGGAGGCGGAUCAUGAGAGCAGCAGUUUGUUGCAGCAUGAGGGUAAGCAGGAACCCUGACCGGUGGGCCCAGACCUCUGCUGUGGCUGUGAAGUGUCUGUUUUUCUCUGGCUGCUGUGUUCUAGUGUAAGCUGUCCAGUUAAUGAUAUUGAUAUUUUUGAACUUUAUAAUAAAUUACCCUAUUUUUCAUGUGAA